AGAUUGGAGGAAGGGAAGAGAGAGAAGGAGAGAAGAAAAAAGAAGACGAUGAGUUUGAUUUUUCUUUGUGGGCUUGGCGCUUUGAAAAGAAAGACAAAAUUUUUGUCAAAAUUUUAUCCU
rnacentral:ribozyme from 1 species